ACUGAAUAGAUACCCUGGUAGUCCUGGCCCUAAACGAUGAAUGCUUGGUGUGGCGGGUAUCGAUCCCUGCCGUGCCGAAAGCUAACGCAUUAAGCAUUCCGCCUGGGGAGUACGGUCACAAGGCUGAAACUCAAAGGAAUUGACGGGGGCCCGCACAAGCGGUGGAGCAUGUGGUUUAAUUCGACGCAACGCGAAGAACCUUACCCAGGCUUGAACUGCAGACGACAUCCUACGAAAGUAGGCUUCCGCAAGGACGUCUGUAGAGGUGCUGCAUGGCUGUCGUCAGCUCGUGUCGUGAGAUGUUGGGUUAAGUCCCGCAACGAGCGCAACCCUUGUCUUCUGUUGCCAUCGGGUUAUGCCGGGCACUCUGAAGAGACUGCCGGUGACAAACCGGAGGAAGGUGGGGAUGACGUCAAGUCAGCAUGGCCUUUAUGUCUGGGGCCACACACGUGCUACAAUGGCAGGUACAAACCGUCGCGAGACCGCAAGGUGGAGCUAAUCGGAUAAAGCCUGUCUCAGUUC
rnacentral:rRNA from 1 species